CCGUGAGGGAAAGGUGAAAAGAACCCCGGGAGGGGAGUGAAAUAGAACCUGAAACUGUAUGCUUACAAUCGGUAGGAGGGCUAUGAAGUAGCAAUACUUCAGCCUGACUGCUUGCCUAUUGAAGAAUGAGCCAAGGAGUUAAGGGUGGUGGCAAGGCUAAGGGUUGAUACCCGGAGCCGUAGCGAAAGCGAGUCUGAAUAGGGCGUUAGUCGCUAUUCUUAGACCCGAAACCAGGUGGUCAACCCAUGGUCAGGGUGAAACGAGCGUAAGAACUCGUGGAGGCCCGAACCGGUUAGGGGAAAAAACCUAUCGGAUGAACUGUGGGUAGUAGAGAAAUUCUAACCGAACCUGGAGAUAGCUGGUUCUCUCCGAAAUGCAUUUAGGUGCAGCGGUAGGUUAUUAGUGCGUGGAGGUAGAGCACUGGAUGGGCUAGGGGUCUUACCAGACUUCCAAACCCAACCAAACUCCGAAUGCCACGUAUCCGUAUCCUACCAGUGAGUCGGCGAGUAAUAAGAUCCGUCGUCGAGAGGGGAACAACCCAGAUCGUCUGCUAAGGUCCCAAAAACAAGCUAAGUGUAUACUAAGGAUGUGGAAUUGCUCUAACAGCUAGGAGGUUAGCUCAGAAGCAGCUAUCCUUUAAAGAGUGCGUAACAGCUCACUAGUCGAGCGAUUCUGCGCCAUAAAUUCUCGGGACUAAGCUUGUUACCGAAGCAGCGGGUUCAGAAAAUUUUAGGAUUUUCUGAGCGGUAGGAGAGCGUUCCUGUUUCUGAGAAGGUGUACCGUAAGGAGCACUGGAGAGGCAGGAAGUGAGAAUCUUGGCUUAAGUAGCGAAAAACAAGGUGAGAAUCCUUGUCGUCGUAAAUCUAAGGUUUCCUGGGGAAGGCUUGUCCGCCCAGGGUUAGUCGGUCCUAAGCCGAGGCCGAAAGGCGUAGGUAAUGGAUAACAGGUUAAUAUUCCUGUACCAUGUAUAUUCCGUUAUCAGGAUGGGGUAACGGAGAAGGAUAGGUUAAGCGCGGUUUUGGUUGUCUGCGUCCAAGCCUGUAGGAGGUAUCCGGAGGCAAAUCCCUGGAUACAUAACUCUGAGAGGUAAUGGGGAGCCGCAAGGCGAAGUAACUGAUUCCAUACUCACAAGAAAAACCUCUAACGAGGGAUAUAUGUGACCGUACCGCAAUCCAACACAGGUAGAUGAGGAGCACGCUCCUAAGACGUACGAAAGAACCCCCUUCAAGGAACUCGGCAAAAUUGCCCCGUAACUUCGGGAGAAGGGGUGUCCGGAAGGGUGAAGGCAAAUACUUGUCUUUGCGUUUCUGGAUCACAGUAAACAGGCUCAAGCGACUGUUUAACAAAAACACAGGUCUCUGCUAAGUCGUAAGACGAUGUAUAGGGGCCGACGCUUGCCCGGUGCUGGAAGGUUACAGGGAGGGGUUAGCUGGCUUCGGCUGGCGAAGCUCUGAACUUAAGCCCCAGUGAACGGCGGCCGUAACUAUAGGAUGGACGCUGUAGUUAUAAAACUCAGCUAUAUGCUGGAAAAUCCGGUUAGUAUCUGGCAUUACGAGAGCUUAUGCUCCGUAACAAUGUGACCAGUGCGGACAAUCAGCAGGAAAGACUUUUAGAAGGAGGAAAAAUGAGUGAGAAAAAGAUAAAUAUUCCUCCAAAGAUAGGAUGGUAUCUUGCAGGUUUUGCAGAUGGUGAAGGUAGUUUUAAUGUUUCUUUUCGACCGAGAGAUGAUUAUAGGAAUAAAUGGAAAAUUUCUCUUUCUUUUAAUGUCUCUCAAGACGAAAGAUUAAUUCUUACUCUAUUCAAAAGAUACCUUGGAUGUGGAACUUUAAGGAUGAGAAAAGAUGGUAUUUGGUAUUAUGAAGUGACAAAUAUUAAUGCUCUUUCUGAAAAAAUUAUACCAUUUUUCAAAAAGUUUCACUUUCUCUCGCAAAAGAAGAAGAAAGCUUUCUCAAAAUUUAAAGAAGUGCUUGAAAUGGUUUUAAGUAAAGAGCACUUAAAAGAGAAUGGCAUCAAAAAAAUUGCAAAAUUACGUGAAGAAAUAAAUGGUGAUCAUUCAAAGAGAAAGUAUAAUGCAAAAGAGAUCAUAUCUUCUCUGGAAGAAUCCUCAGAGACUAUACGCUGAGCACCUAUUUGGGUGAUGAUAUAGUCCGGUCUCCAUAGCGAUAUGGAGUAUUGAUUGAAGUUUAGUCAAUUAUCCUUACAGAUUUUUUAAGGGUAACGUAAACGAACGGUCCUAAGGUAGCGAAAUACCUUGUCGGGUAAGUUCCGACGCGCAUGAAAAGCGUAACGAUUUGAGCACUGUCUCGAAGAGGGAUUCGGUGAAAUAGCAGUA
rnacentral:rRNA from 1 species